GACGAACGCUGGCGGCGUGCUUAACACAUGCAAGUCGAACGGAAAGGGCCUGCUGUUUUGGGGUGCUCGAGUGGCGAACGGGUGAGUAAGUCGUGAGUAACCUGCCCUUCACUUUGGGAGAACCACAGGAAACUGGGGCUAAUACCGGAUAGGUGCGCCUGCUUCAUGGUGGGGGGUGGAAAGGUUCGGCGGUUGGGGAUGGUCUCGCGGCUUAUCAGCUUGUGGGUGGGGUAGUGGCUUACCAAGGCUUUGACGGGUAGCCGGACUGAGAGGGUGACCGGCCACAUUGGGACUGAGAUACGGCCCAGACUCCUACGGGAGGCAGCAGUGGGGAAUAUUGCACAAUGGGCGGAAGCCUGAUGCAGCAACGCCGCGUGCGGGAUGACGGCCUUCGGGUUGUAAACCGCUUUCGCCUGUGACGAAGCGUGAGUGACGGUAAUGGGUAAAGAAGCACCGGCUAACUACGUG
rnacentral:rRNA from 1 species